rnacentral:lncRNA from 1 species
AUGGAGAUGCCAUCCCAUCCCAUCCCAUCCCCAUCCCCAGCCCCAUCCCCACCCCAUUCCCGGGCAGCCCCGGGCACACUCCGGUACCUCCAGUCCCUUCCCGCUCCGAGCCCGCCUGCCCAGCUGAGCCGCAUCCUCCUCCCGGGAAUUCCAGGGCAUCGACUGCGACUCCUGUGGGACAGACGCGGGUGUGGGAGCCCCCAUUCCCCAACCCCGCAUUCCCAUAUUCCCGCAUUCCCGCAUUCCCGCAUCCCGGCUCACCUCGCUCAGCACGGAGAAGCAGCCGGAGCAGGGUCUGUGUGGCCGCCACCGGCCCUGUGGAGGGAAGGCUGGGAUGGGGACCGGGAUCUCCCGGAGCACAGGGCGGGAAUGCGGGUAGGACUGGCAGGUGAUGGGAAUGACGGGGAGCCCCAUCCUGCCGUGCCCUCCCCGGGAUUUUCCGCGGCUGCGGGGGCUGCGGCCCGGGAAUGCCGAGCCCAUCCCGGCAGGGACAGGGAGGCUGGAAAAGCCACAGCCCGGGAUUUGUCUUGGUGUGGGGCCAGCCCCGAGGAGCGGACAGGGGGCAGGCCAUGCCAAGCUCUGUCAUUCCAUCCCCGUUAUUCCCAUUUUUACCCCUCUCCACGCACAACCGACCUCUCUCCUCCCCGCCGCCAUCCCGGAGUCGCCGUGGUCAGCUCCGGCCACUCCGGCCACGGCCACGGCCACGGCGCAGAGCAGCAACAGCCUCAUGGUGCCACCGCGGCUGUCCCGGGACUGCGGCCACUGCCCUGCCUGGACAUUGGCCCCGAUGUCACCAUGGUGACCCUGGAAAGGUCACUCGCAGCCGGAGCUGCCGGACACAGGGAGAGCAAAGGGCUGGCUCUGGAUAAGGGAUGGGCUGGAGGAAACUUAUCCCCAAAACUCUGUCCUAGGGGUCCUGCUCUUCCUGCGGCCCUCUCAAGGAGUCCUGGAAUGCUGGCAUGGCCUGGGCUGAGAGGGGAUUUAAGGAUCAUCCCGUCUGCUUGCCAACAGCAAUUCCAGAUUCUGCUUCUGGAACGCUCAUAA